UAUCACUAAGCGGAGGAAAAGAAACUAACAAGGAUUCCCUUAGUAACGGCGAGUGAACAGGGAUGAGCCCAGCACCGAAGCCUGUGGCCAUUUGGUCACUAGGCAAUGUGGUGUUCAGGUCAUUUCUUGGAUGCACUGCUCCACUCCAAGUCCGUCAAUGAGUACGGUUAUACAGACUUGGCCCAGAGAGGGUGAAAGGCCCGUGGGAGUGGAGUCUCAGGCAAGACAGUGUUUCCCUGGAUAGACCUUGGAGUCGGGUUGUUUGUGAAUGCAGCCCAAAGUGGGUGGUAAACUCCAUCCAAGGCUAAAUACUAGCACGAGUCCGAUAGCGAACAAGUACCGUGAGGGAAAGUUGAAAAGUACUUUGAAGAGAGAGUAAACAGUGCGUGAAACCGCUCAGAGGUAAUCGGGUGGAGUUGAACUGCGAACCUUGAGAAUUCAGCUGGUGAGUAUGGAUUGAGCUUGGGCAAAUUGGUUGUACUUCAGAGUCUACGUAGCAGUAGGUCCAUGCCUUCGGGUGAGGAUUCGCGCUCGCUUAUCAAGCCUUGCGUGCUCUGUUGUUGACAGACCUGCUCGCCAGUGCACUUUCUCUUGGUGUUCACCACGACCGGCACUGCUAUCUGGCUGUUGUGGUUAAACCGGCCUUGCAUUAUCUCCGGACUUGCUUGGUUGGGACGGCAGGUAGUUCGUUGACUAGUCUGGGGCAACUCAGGCAUUUGGUUUUCGGAUGCAACCGCUGACCAUGAUGGUUCUGUGUAGUGUGUCGGAGACGGCGGCUUUUCGUGUGAGCGCUUGUUCUGUUCGUUGGCCUGUUCGGGUUUGGUUGCCAUGUUGCUUGUUCUGCAAGCCUGGUGAUAGCCUGGGCUCGUCUGGUGGGCAGUUGCGGGCGUGACACUUGCGGGGGCCCAUAGUCUGUGGUGUUGUGGUAGACGAUCCACCUGGCCCGUCUUGAAACACGGACCAAGGAGAGUAACAUGCAUGCGAGUCAUUGGGCGUAACGAAACCCACAGGCGCAGUGAAAGUAAAGGUUUGGCUUGUCCAUUCCGAGGUGAGAUCCUGUCGUGUCUUACGCGCGGUACUACCAAGCAUCGAGCGGCAGGCGCAUCACCGGCCCAUCCCUUGACUUAGACACUUGGUUUCGCACCGGUGCACAGUCGGGGUGGAGCAUGAGCAUGCAUGUUGAGACCCGAAAGAUGGUGAACUAUGCUUGCGUAGGUUGAAGCCAGAGGAAACUCUGGUGGAGGACCGUAGCGGUUCUGACGUGCAAAUCGAUCGUCAAACGUGAGUAUAGGGGCGAAAGACUAAUCGAACCAUCUAGUAGCUGGUUCCCUC
rnacentral:rRNA from 1 species